rnacentral:rRNA from 1 species
ACGGGUGAGUAACACGUGGAUAACCUACCUAUAAGACUGGGAUAACUUCGGGAAACCUGAGCUAAUACCGGAUAACAUAUUGAACCGCAUGGUUCAAUAGUGAAAGGCGGCUUUGCUGUCACUUAUAGAUGGAUCCGCGCCGUAUUAGCUAGUUGGUAAGGUAACGGCUUACCAAGGCAACGAUACGUAGCCGACCUGAGAGGGUGAUCGGCCACACUGGAACUGAGACACGGUCCAGACUCCUACGGGAGGCAGCAGUAGGGAAUCUUCCGCAAUGGGCGAAAGCCUGACGGAGCAACGCCGCGUGAGUGAUGAAGGUCUUCGGAUCGUAAAACUCUGUUAUCAGGGAAGAACAAAUGUGUAAGUAACUGUGCACAUCUUGACGGUACCUGAUCAGAAAGCCACGGCUAACUACGUGCCAGCAGCCGCGGUAAUACGUAGGUGGCAAGCGUUAUCCGGAAUUAUUGGGCGUAAAGCGCGCGUAGGCGGUUUUUUAAGUCUGAUGUGAAAGCCCACGGCUCAACCGUGGAGGGUCAUUGGAAACUGGAAAACUUGAGUGCAGAAGAGGAAAGUGGAAUUC